UCAAUACAACAAUACAAUAAUCAUCAAACUAACUAUGGUUGUACAACUGUAAUGGUCGUUUUUGAUGUGCAUUUAUAUGACAGAUAUCACACAUUUACUGUACCAUGCUUUUGAUACCUUUUUAUGUAAAUCCAAAAAAAGUAAAUAAAUAAAAGGACACAUUUUCCCCCUCUUGCAGUUCAUUCAUAUCAGUUUAUAUUUUAAAUAUUUUGCUCACAAAACAUUAUUAAAAUUCUGUUUAUAAUACUAUUUUAUUCAACCCCCCCCCCCCUUUCUUAUUUUUAUUAUUAUUUUAUUUUUUUAGUUGAAAAGAUGUAAAGGAAGCAUUCAUCCCUGUGGUGUUUAUGGAGAGGUUUUCCUUCAGAAAUGGAGAAGACAGAAAGCUGCGGAGGCAGACAUUUGCAGCAGAUUGUUUGCAGAUAAUGCUGUUCUUCUUUUUCAGAAGUUUUUGGUGAGCCAACCCUCACAAACCUUCCUAAAAACUAAAAGAGCUAUUACUGAGUCUCAGCGAAUCUUGCCAUGAUCAGCUCUUCCCAGAAGAGAAGGAAGACCAAGGAAAUGAUUUGCUCAGGAUGAGGAAUGAAGACAGCCAUCUUGAGCUCAAACAAAGACAGAAGUCCUCUGAUUAUCUCAUCAGCCAAAUGAGGGGUUUUUGACCAAGUGAUGCUCUUGAAAGGAGUGAAAGAAGAGGAUGUGGUAAAUUGUCUUCAGAGAAAAAGCUUCUCAAAAGGUCUUAAAGCAGCUUGAAGAAUGGUCUGGGAUGUUAGGACUGAGAGAUCCUCUGGCUGAGAACAAGCUACACCACAUCAGUGCUGGAUAUCAGCCACAAACUGUUUCCAGACACGAGAGAAGAAGAUCACGAUGAAACCAGUUUAGAUGUGAUGAUAAGGAAUCAUUAUUUUCUGAAACAGUAUCACAUGUCUUAUAAGUAUCACAUAAUCUGUAUCACAGUUGACUGGAUGGGACUGUGUGACUUUUAAGGACAUUUCAUCACUCAUCUGUGUGAACUGAUUAAUAUAUGAGGUUAAUGUAUUUUUGAUGAUAAUUAUUUUCCUUGAAUCUUAUUUGUCUUGAUGCUACUUUAUCAACUUUAUAGUCUAUGCUUCAAUAAAAUGAAAAUGGUGAA